GGCGGCAGGCUUAACACAUGCAAGUCGAGCGGAAACGAUGAUAGCUUGCUAUCAGGCGUCGAGCGGCGGACGGGUGAGUAAUACUUAGGAAUCUACCUAGUAGUGGGGGAUAGCUCGGGGAAACUCGAAUUAAUACCGCAUACGUCCUACGGGAGAAAGCAGGGGAUCAUUAGACCUUGCGCUAUUAGAUGAGCCUAAGUCGGAUUAGCUAGAUGGUGGGGUAAAGGCCUACCAUGGCGACGAUCUGUAGCUGGUCUGAGAGGAUGAUCAGCCACACCGGGACUGAGACACGGCCCGGACUCCUACGGGAGGCAGCAGUGGGGAAUAUUGGACAAUGGGGGCAACCCUGAUCCAGCCAUGCCGCGUGUGUGAAGAAGGCCUUUUGGUUGUAAAGCACUUUAAGCAGUGAAGAAGACUCUUCGGUUAAUACCCGGGGACGAUGACAUUAGCUGCAGAAUAAGCACCGGCUAACUCUGUGCCAGCAGCCGCGGUAAUACAGAGGGUGCAAGCGUUAAUCGGAAUUACUGGGCGUAAAGCGAGCGUAGGUGGCUUGAUAAGUCAGAUGUGAAAGCCCCGGGCUUAACCUGGGAACGGCAUCUGAUACUGUUAGGCUAGAGUAGGUGAGAGGAAGGUAGAAUUCCAGGUGUAGCGGUGAAAUGCGUAGAGAUCUGGAGGAAUACCGAUGGCGAAGGCAGCCUUCUGGCAUCAUACUGACACUGAGGUUCGAAAGCGUGGGUAGCAAACAGGAUUAGAUACCCUGGUAGUCCACGCCGUAAACGAUGUCUACUAGUCGUUGGGUCCCUUGAGGACUUAGUGACGCAGCUAACGCAAUAAGUAGACCGCCUGGG
rnacentral:rRNA from 1 species